ensembl:snoRNA
GGGGUGUGCUCAGAGCAGGAGGCCUGAAGGAUGGCUCCCCUGUUUACAACACACCCAACAGGAAUGCAGGGUCACUGGGACAAAGGGCACACAGCUGUGUCUCCCUGCGACCAGAUGCCCUACACAC